GGGAAUUUUCCGCAAUGGGCGAAAGCCUGAUGGAGCAACGCCGCGUGAGUGAAGAAGGCCUUCGGGUUGUAAAGCUCUGUCCUUGGGGAAGAACCGUAGUGAUAGCAAAUGCUCACUACCUGACGGUACCCAUGGAGGAAGCACUGGCUAACUACGUGCCAGCAGCCGCGGUAAUACGUAGAGUGCAAGCGUUGUCCGGAAUCAUUGGGCGUAAAGGGUACGCAGGCGGAUAUGCAAGUCAAAUGUGAAAACUACCGGCUUAACUGGUAGACUGCGUUUGAAACUGUAUAUCUUGAGUGCAGCAGAGGAGAGCGGAAUUUCUAGUGUAGUGGUGGAAUACGUAGAUAUUAGAAAGAACACCAGUGGCGAAGGCGGCUCUCUGGGCUGACACUGACGCUCAGGUACGAAAGCUGGAGGAGCGAAAGGGAUUAGAUACCCCUGUAGUC
rnacentral:rRNA from 1 species